rnacentral:lncRNA from 1 species
AGGCCACAGAGAACGGACGUAAUAUGGAACCAAAGAAAUAACAGACCUGAAGUGAGGCAGGUUGACUUGGCUGGCUGUACUCCAUCUGUUAGCUUAGUUUGGAAGUCUCUGAGUCGCCCUCGCUGUUGUUAAGAAACAUAUUUGAGCUGUAUGGCACUCAUAUAAUUGCAGCUGCAAGUUGCAGGCAGUCAGAAAUCUUCAUUGUGUUAAUUGCUUCACCCCAAGGGAAGCUCUAAUUCUGGAAACAGUAUCAGAUUUUUUCCAGUAAAUGAAAAGUGAAAAUCCAGAUAGAUUACCUGAGUGCAGAAAGCAGUGCCCAUCUUUAUUCAGAGAUGAGAAUAAAUGAAGAGUCAUAUUUCUGAGCAGCAGGAGAAUAUUUUUUUUAGUGAACACAUGAAAGAAAAGAGAUUGACUCAUAGUCAGCGCUUUCCUAAUGUUCCCCUUGGUUUCUUUUCCCUUUCUCUGCAGGUUAACUCCAGCGUGUGUGCUGCCCUCUAUGCCUGGGGCUGCUCCCUCUGCCUGUCUUCAGAGAUGGAUCCCAUACCAAGUGGGGCAUUUCAGUCAGGUGUAGGAUUUCCCCCUGCUUUGGGGGAGCAGCAGGAAUUAUUAGACCGAUCUAAAUAAAGCUGAUGCAUGCUGAGGGCAGGAAUUGUUAAUUAUCAGUGGAGUUGAGCUCCUAGGAGUGCGAUGCAUGCCAAUGUUUGCUGCUUCAGAUUCAGAUUCAAACCCACUGAACACACACGUAACAGGAAGCUCGUGGUCUCUCUGGAGUGCACGUAUGUGAGUGAGGGCCCUCUAAGGAUGGGGUCCUGUUCUGUACCGAGGGGCAAGUGCUGCUUUGGGACCUGUGGUCCAAAUCUGAUCCUGGAAAGUAUGAGCCCUGGCACCACAACUCAUCCCCUGCCAGACCCCGUGCUCCUACAGCUUGUGUGCUGGAGAAAACCACGGAAUGAAGGCAGAAGGAUGUAAAGAGGAAUAUCCCUCCUUCCACAGCCUGUGAGUGCUGCAGACUUUGUUCUUCAGCUAAUGACUUUAUACAGAGACAAAACUUGGUAAUAAAAGGUUUUAUUACAAUAGUCAGAGUCUGACAGGAUGAAUGCCUGCGAGCUGAAAUGGGACGCCAUUCAAAACAUAGGUCAAGUGGGAAAUAAGGUACCUCAUAAUGGGGGAUAGGGGCACAAUUAACCAUUCCAGCUACUUGCCUAUACCUACGGGACACCAUAGCACUGGAAUAAGACUGGACUUCAUUUUGUUUUUGAGCAAUGAGUUGUAUCUUUUACCAGACUAAAUGAUCGUGGCAGUUUUCUGGUCUUUUUCCUCUACCAUUUGGGCUGCACCCCGUCCCAAAUAAAAUACUACCUAGAAUAAAUCCUAGUGUCAGUUGUCUUGCAACACAAUUACUCAGGUUGGUAUGCAUGUAGACUCAGCAUCGUGCAUUAAACUAGUCCAAAUCUGACUUCAGCCUGCAAAACUUUCUCUAGCAGCAGCUUUCAGAGGGAACUAGUGUGAUAUGAAACGAUGUUAAAGGAACUUUCCCAAAGUGACAAAGGACUUUUUGUAGAAUUGAGAACGGAAAUGCUUCAUGCUGGUUUUGGUCUGUGCUGUACAGUCAUGGGAUCGCUCCUCUUCGCUGCCAGCCAAAUGGAUGUGGGGAAAAUCACUGUCGUUCUCAUCUGUGUUCCUGGUGUUUCUGAAUUUGGCUGCUCCUGAUGACCAGAAAUGCCAAUUACUACGUCUGUCUCCAUUCCAGAAGCAAAAAGGUAAAAUGCUUCUGACUGGCAGGCUAUUUCAGAACCAAGAACUGCUGCUUUUAUUUCCUCAGUCUCAGUUUCCAGGUAGGAUCUGCUAUGGCUGUUAAGUGGGCUGUUCAUGUAUUGUAACCUGUAGCCCAAAUGACCAAAACCUAAUCUAGAAAGCCAUGUGAAGAUGACUUCAGCUAAGAUGAAGUGUAGCUAGUUUGGGAUAUUGGCAGAAAGAAGUUGCUCUGAAAUCAACCUUGAGUGACUAAACUGUGAUUAACAGAUAAUAGCUUUCAUAAUAGCGUUACUGAGCGUGAUUACUAUUUAUGUACUAAUAUUCUUGAAGGGCUUUGGGGCAUUUAUUUUAUUUUGUUCCAUCCUUUGUUUGCCAAAAUAUGUAAAAUAUCUUCCAAAGUGAGCAUUCUUGAGCUUCUAAGCUGUGGACAAAUGUGGGUCCGGCUGUUCCAACCCCUGCUCCAGCAGCGAGACCCAGAGCAGGCAGGCCAGGCCGACGUCCGGGUGGCUUUAGAUCUCCAAAGAGGAGACUCCAGAACCUCUCUGGGCAGGCUGUGUCAGUGCUCCAACACCUACAGCGAGAAUAUUUUCUCCUUGUGUUGAGAUGGAAGCUCUGCUUUCAGAGCCGAGAUUCUGAAGCAGGCAGAUGGAAAGUUCUAGCACCCACCAAGUGGUGCACUUGUUUGAUGGUUCCUGUGAGUGUGUGAAGGCUUCAGGAAGAUAAGCUCACAAAGAGCAUGGAAGAACUGCAACCAUCUAUGGUCCAUCAGAGUCCUAUCUGUAUGUAUGACAGUAAAUUUGAACAUACCCCGAUAGACUCAGGAUGGCAAACUGCUGAGAGCUGCUCAUUUACUACAGCAUCACUCCUCAAAAUUAUUUCACUGAAGAAAAUCAGGAGAACUGAUUUUUUAAUUCUUUGGAUAGGGGCACUGACUUUCAUGGCAUUCUACUCCCUUUUCUUUCUCUCUAUUGAAAAACAGUCACUCAUUAAUUCAGUUUAAUAAUUCUAUUAAAGGCAUCAUGCCCUCUGUAUUGCCAUAAAUUAUCAGCUUCCCUUUAUUUGAAAUACUUACUUUGAACUUCAAAUUCAAACACUUAAAAGAUGUACCCAGCUCCCUUAAAAUGCAACUGCUAGCCUGAGCUUUCCAAGUUUGGCUCUGAAAUGAAAUGUGAGCCGUGAGCAGCACUGGAUUGGUUCAGAACUGUGUGGAUGUGGUCCAUGCUCCAGGUGCAGUUCUGGGAGUGAAAAGUCACACUGGAUGAGGGUCUUUGUCUUAAUUCUUGAGUAUUUUUUGUAAUAAAAGUGCAGACGAACUCCUCUGAACAAAGGAGGGAGCCAAAGAAGCAAGAAGCUUUUGCAGCUACUUCCCUGCUCACUUGGUUGCCCUGAUGGACAGAGUGUCAGGAAAGUGUUACGAGCUGCAGAUGGACACUGGAAGAAUUUGGCAAGUACCAAAUGAGCAACUUGUGUAGUAGAGUGGAGCAAUUACCAAAGCACUUCCUCAGGAUAUGCCAAGCAAAGAAGAUGCCAUAACCAUUAGUAAAGAAUCCCCACAUGUUCAACAGUGUUGCCUCUGAGCAAGAAACCUCUUGGUUUCACCUUCCAAAGCAGAACCAGGUGCUCCAGCCUGCUGCAGGAGGGGAAAGAAGAUACACCAUUACUACGGCAGCUACUCUAAAACAUCAUUACUGCCUCCUGCUGAAGUUCACUGCCAUGCUGGGAGAGAGCACUCACUGGGUUAGAUAAAGAACCGAAGGAAAGGCAGUGUCCUGAGUUUGGCUUUCAGAAGAUGUCUGUCUGUACUCUCAGUGUAUUUUCCAUAUUUUCCAUUUGUUUAACAUGGAUGUUUCAUUUCGUUAUCCAUUUUCAGGCAAAGCCUGCAAAGCUGCAGCAGGCCUCGUUCAUGGAAAUGAAGAAAAAUGUGUAAAGGAGGGCAUACGGGAAAGUUUUUUCUUCCUCAGAAGCUUGAUGAAUGGUGCAUAAAUAUGUGUAAGGGUUUUAAAUUGCAUUUGUAACUGGGAUGAGAGCAGCAGGAACUGAGAUAUAUUUAAAUACACGCUUAUGUAUUUCAUACUAUAAUUAAAAGGUGUUAAAGAACAACAAAG